GACGAACGCUGGCGGCGUGCUUAACACAUGCAAGUCGAACGGUGAAGCCUUUCGGGGUGGAUCAGUGGCGAACGGGUGAGUAACACGUGGGCAACCUGCCCCUGACUUCGGGAUAAGCCCGGGAAACCGGGUCUAAUACCGGAUAUGAUCACGUCCCGCAUGGGGUGUGGUGGAAAGUUUUUCGGUCAGGAGUGGGCUCGCGGCCUAUCAGCUUGUUGGUGGGGUGGAUGGCCUACCAAGGCGACGACGGGAGCCGGCCUGAGAGGGCGACCGGCCACACUGGGACUGAGACA
rnacentral:rRNA from 1 species